rnacentral:lncRNA from 10 species
AUGGUGAAACCCAUCUCUACUAAAAAUAGAAAAAUUAGCUGGGUGUGGUGGUGCGCGCCUGUAAUUCCAGCUACUUGGGAGGCUGAAGCAGGAGAAUUGCUUGAACCCGGGAGGUAGAGGUUGCAGUGAGCCGAGAUCUCACCACUGCACUCCAACCUGGGAGACAGAGCAAGAGUCUUGUCUCCAUAAAAAGAAAAAAAAAGGCCAGGCGCAGUGGCUCACACCU